CCCUUAGAUGUUCUGGGCCGCACGCGCGCUACACUGGUGCGUUCAACAAGUUUACAACCUUGAUUGACAAGUCUGGGUAAUCUUUUGAAUGCGCACCGUGCUAGGGAUAGAUUAUUGCAAUUAUUAAUCUUGAACGAGGAAUUCCUAGUAAACGCAAGUCAUCAGCUUGCAUUGAUUACGUCCCUGCCCUUUGUACACACCGCCCGUCGCACCUACUGAUUGAAUGACUCGGUGAAAAAUUGGGGCUGUGAGAACAAUUGAUUCAUUUCAAAUGUACUCGUGGGAACUUUUUUUAACCUCGCCAUUUAGAAGAAGGUGAAGUCGUAACA
rnacentral:rRNA from 1 species